AGUGAACGCUGGCGGUAGGCCUAACACAUGCAAGUCGAACGGAAGCACAGUAAGAGCUUGCUCUUACGGGUGGCGAGUGGCGGACGGGUGAGGAAUACAUCGGAAUCUACUUUUUCGUGGGGGAUAACGUAGGGAAACUUACGCUAAUACCGCAUACGACCUACGGGUGAAAGCAGGGGAUCUUCGGACCUUGCGCGUUUGAAUGAGCCGAUGUCGGAUUAGCUAGUUGGCGGGGUAAAGGCCCACCAAGGCGACGAUCCGUAGCUGGUCUGAGAGGAUGAUCAGCCACACUGGAACUGAGACACGGUCCAGACUCCUACGGGAGGCAGCAGUGGGGAAUAUUGGACAAUGGGCGCAAGCCUGAUCCAGCCAUACCGCGUGGGUGAAGAAGGCCUUCGGGUUGUAAAGCCCUUUUGUUGGGAAAGAAAAGCAGCAGGUUAAUACCCCGCUGUUCUGACGGUACCCAAAGAAUAAGCACCGGCUAACUUCGUG
rnacentral:rRNA from 1 species